GGGGCAUUGGUCUAGUGGUAUGAUACUCGCUUAGGGUGCGAGUGGUCGGCGGUUCGAUUCCGCCAUGCCCCC
rfam:Monoraphidium neglectum strain SAG 48.87 unplaced genomic scaffold scaffold05042, whole genome shotgun sequence.